rnacentral:rRNA from 1 species
CCGGCGCACGGGUGAGUAACACGUAUGGAACCUGCCCUAUGCAGGGGGAUAAGCGGAAGAAAUUCCGUCUAAUACCGCAUAACACCAUUUGGAGACAUCUCCAGGUGGUCAAAGGAGGCGACUCCGGCAUAGGAUGGCCAUGCGUCGCAUUAGCUAGUCGGCGGGGUAACGGCCCACCGAGGCGACGAUGCGUAGGGGUUCUGAGAGGAAGGUCCCCCACACUGGUACUGAGCACGGACCAGACUCCUACGGGAGGCAGCAG